UACGAAGGGGGGCUAGCGUUGCUCGGAAUCACUGGGCGUAAAGCGCACGUAGGCGGCUUCUUAAGUCAGGGGUGAAAUCCUGGAGCUCAACUCCAGAACUGCCUUUGAUACUGAGGGGCUUGAGUCCGGGAGAGGUGAGUGGAACUGCGAGUGUAGAGGUGAAAUUCGUAGAUAUUACGCAAGAACACCAGUGGCGAAGGCGGCUCACUGGCCCGGUACUGACGCUGAGGUGCGAAAGCGUGGGGAGCAAACAGG
rnacentral:rRNA from 1 species